GAUGAACGCUGGCGGUGUGCCUAAUACAUGCAAGUCGAGCGAACAGACGAGGAGCUUACUCCUCUGACGUUAGCGGCGGACGGGUGAGUAACACGUGGAUAACCUACCUAUAAGACUGGGAUAACUUCGGGAAACCGGAGCUAAUACCGGAUAACAUGUUGAACCGCAUGGUUCAACAGUGAAAGACGGUCUUGCUGUCACUUAUAGAUGGAUCCGCGUCGCAUUAGCUAGUUGGUAAGGUAACGGCUUACCAAGGCAACGAUGCGUAGCCGACCUGAGAGGGUGAUCGGCCACACUGGAACUGAGACACGGUCCAGACUCCUACGGGAGGCAGCAGUAGGGAAUCUUCCGCAAUGGGCGAAAGCCUGACGGAGCAACGCCGCGUGAGUGAAGAAGGUCUUCGGAUCGUAAAACUCUGUUAUUAGGGAAGAACAAGUGUGUAAGUAACUAUGCACGUCUUGACGGUACCUAAUCAGAAAGCCACGGCUAACUACGUG
rnacentral:rRNA from 1 species